rnacentral:rRNA from 1 species
UACGAAGGGGGCUAGCGUUGCUCGGAAUUACUGGGCGUAAAGCGCACGUAGGCGGUCUUUAAGUCGGGGGUGAAUCCUGGAGCUCAACUCCAGAACUGCCUUCGAUACUGGAAGACUCGAGUCCGGGAGAGGUGAGUGGAACUGCGAGUGUAGAGGUGAAAUUCGUAGAUAUUCGCAAGAACACCAGUGGCGAAGGCGGCUCACUGGCCCGGUACUGACGCUGAGGUGCGAAAGCGUGGGGAGCAACAGGG